AGCGUAUAUUAAAGUUGUUGCAGUUAAAAAGCUCGUAGUUGGAUUUGUGGUUCGUCCCGCCGGCCGGGCCUAUUGGCCCUGGCUGGUUUUGGGGCGUCCAUCCUUGGGUGGAGCCUGUGUGGCAUUAGGUUGUCGUGCAGGGGAUGCCCAUCUUUUACUGUGAGAAAAUUAGAGUGUUCAAAGCAGGCUUAUGCCGUUGAAUAUGUUAGCAUGGAAUAAUGAUAUAGGACCUUGGUACUAUUUUGUUGGUUUGCGCACUGAGGUAAUGAUUAACAGGGACAGUUGGGGGUAUUCGUAUUCCAUUGUAAGAGGUGAAAUUCUUGGAUUUUUGGAAGACGAACUACUGCGAAAGCAUUUACCAAGGAUGUUUUCAUUAAUCAAGAACGAAAGUUAGGGGAUCGAAGAUGAUUAGAUACCAUCGUAGUCUUAACCAUAAACUAUGCCGACAAGGGAUUGGUGGGGUUUCGUUCGUCUCCAUCAGC
rnacentral:rRNA from 1 species